rnacentral:tRNA from 1 species
GAGGGGUUUAUAAGACCUGCUAACUCUUUAACCUGGCACUAACCACCCAGCCCCCUCU